CGGCGGACGGGUGAGUAACACGUGGACAACCUACCUAUAAGACUGGGAUAACUUCGGGAAACCGGAGCUAAUACCGGAUAAUAUAUUGAACCGCAUGGUUCAAUAGUGAAAGACGGUUUUGCUGUCACUUAUAGAUGGAUCCGCGCCGCAUUAGCUAGUUGGUAAGGUAACGGCUUACCAAGGCAACGAUGCGUAGCCGACCUGAGAGGGUGAUCGGCCACACUGGAACUGAGACACGGUCCAG
rnacentral:rRNA from 1 species